UACAGAGGGGGCGAGCGUUGUUCGGAAUUACUGGGCGUAAAGGGCGCGUAGGCGGCCUCUUAAGUCGAACGUGAAAUCCCCGGGCUCAACCCGGGAACUGCGUCCGAUACUGGGAGGCUUGAAUCCGGGAGAGGGAUGUGGAAUUCCAGGUGUAGCGGUGAAAUGCGUAGAUAUCUGGAGGAACACCGGUGGCGAAGGCGGCAUCCUGGACCGGUAUUGACGCUGAGGCGCGAAAGCCAGGGGAGCAAAGCGGG
rnacentral:rRNA from 1 species